rnacentral:misc_RNA from 1 species
AGAAAAUGACGUGAACUCUUAACGGAGUUCUCUCAAAGUGUUGGAGGGGAAGGCCUGCGCUUAAUUGCGCGGCUGUUUUUAAUCUCCUCCGCCUUUGAUACACACAUUGGAGUUUCUACUUUUUUGUUCUCUUUGGGAGGGUUCUGCUCUCCCAGAGGUAAACACAAACAAUCUUUUAUUAUACUAUUAACACAGUCAAAUGAAUUUUAAAAACAAAAUAUUCAAAACUUUCAACAACGGAUCUCUUGGUUCUCGCAUCGAUGAAGAACGCAGCGAACUGCGAUACGUAAUGUGAAUUGCAGAAUUCCGUGAAUCAUCGAAUCUUUGAACGCACAUUGCGCCCCUUGGUAUUCCGGGGGGCAUGCCUGUUUGAGCGUCAUUUCCCUCUCAAACUUUACGUUUGGUAGUGAGCGAUACUCUACUCUGGAGUUUGCUUGAAAAUGGGAGGCCAUAGGCGAAGCAUUGCUUUCCAAUCCUGCGGCCCUCUGCUUACUUCCCCUUGUGGGUUGUGGCAGGGGAAAGCGGGAGGCGCCUUGCCACGAUAGUCGUAUUAGGUUUUACCGACUCGGCGAAAGUGAAGAGGUUUGCUUUUUAAAAAGAAGCAGGCAGCGUCUGGCUUGACAAAAUUCUCAAAGUUGACCUCAAAUCAGGUAGGAUUACCCGCUGAACUUAAG